GUGGGGAAUAUUGGACAAUGGGCGCAAGCCUGAUCCAGCCAUGCCGCGUGAGUGAUGAAGGCCCUAGGGUUGUAAAGCUCUUUCACCGGUGAAGAUAAUGACGGUAACCGGAGAAGAAGCCCCGGCUAACUUCGUGCCAGCAGCCGCGGUAAUACGAAGGGGGCUAGCGUUGUUCGGAAUUACUGGGCGUAAAGCGCACGUAGGCGGGUAUUUAAGUCAGGGGUGAAAUCCCGGAGCUCAACUCCGGAACUGCCUUUGAUACUGGGUACCUAGAGUAUGGAAGAGGUAAGUGGAAUUCCGAGUGUAGAGGUGAAAUUCGUAGAUAUUCGGAGGAACACCAGUGGCGAAGGCGGCUUACUGGUCCAUUACUGACGCUGAGGUGCGAAAGCGUGGGGAGCAAACAGGAUUAGAAACCCGAGUAGUCC
rnacentral:rRNA from 1 species